AAAAAUUUAGUUUAUAUAAAACAUAAACUUGUCAAGUUUAAAAUAUUUAAUAAUAAUUUUUU
rnacentral:tRNA from 1 species